CUUAAUAUCAAUUGUCAUAAAACAGACUUUCUUUGCUCUGACCAUGUUUAUUACUGCAUCAGAUUUUUUUAAAUACACUUUUUUCCCGUUCGAAUUCCGUUUCUAGAAGUAUUAAAAGGCUUACAACACUCAAACACACCAACACAGUAUGUUGCAACAGAUUGUGUCCAGUGCCAAGUCCAGCAGUUCUGGAACUAGGCAAGUCAAUGCCUCCAGUGUUGUCUGCUCGUUAUUUACACAGAACUGUCUCUACUUUUCUGCUUUUAAUGGUUCUCCUCCCAUCCUUUCUCAUUUUUUCAUCCUUCUUUUACUUCUUAGAUGUCUUCUCUUCUUUCUCAAACCAUCAUUAUUUCUCUCUCACACACACUUACCAUAUAUAUAGCGAGAAAAUGGGAGAGAGCAUGCAACAAUAAUACAGCGAGGGAUAGACGGUGUAGGUUUAUUAGACGUGCUCGUACAGUUAAACACACAUAAAUAGGACUUUAGACAACAUCUCUAAAAAUGAUGGAGAAGUUUUCUGUCGCUAGGAAGCAGAAAAACGAGGGCGAUGGUUUUCAUUUGCACGCGGCUCAAUUUCCAAGAAGCCUCACACUUCUUUGUAGUAUUAAAUAACAAAAUGUCUCUGUAUUUGACUACUCAAACUACGGGUGAAAGGGAACCUUGCUACAGGUGGCAUAGCCAGCACCAGCUUGUAACUCACUACACUCCCAACAAGCAUUUGUGUGCUGCUGCUGCUGCUGUAGGUACUCGCCUCCUUUCCGUUCCCAGAAUCGGGACGAAAGAAUUUUGGUGAAAACACACAGUAUAGAGUCAUUCACAGGUGCUCUUAACACUCUUUUUGAGAAACAUCUGGAGUUUAAGGGGCACAAGUUGCAGUGUGAUUAUUGUUCAUAUCAUUUUUCUUCUUGUUGCACAGUUUCUACUGUUCGUGUUUAGCGUGCUUGAUUAACACUCAGAGCCUGCCUGUGAUGUUGAUGCGCUUAUAUAAUGAUUUAUUAUUAAAGUUGUACAACUUUUUAGAAAGACUGCGAUUGACCAUUUACACUCUAAUGCUGUACGAAUUGUGUUAGCAAGACCUAGGUUGACCAUUUACACUGUAAUGCUCUACGAAUUUAGUGGUGAACGGGUACAUCAUGUGUGACAUCAUGUGUCAAAGGUCAUAGCUUGGGAGCGACCUUCACUUCCACAUUUUUACACAAACAAGAAGCCGGAAGUGUUUGAUUUGGGGAAAGAAUAUACUUUAAGUCAAAACCUUUAAAGACACCUUAAUUUUGCUAAUUAAGUAAAUAGCGAGAAAGCUAUUCUGACUAUUUAUGUUUGCUUUCUCGUCCGUUUGUACCAUGAAUCAGAUCCACUGAUAUCAUCGCUGAGUGGAUUUCUUCGGGCGUGUUCUUGUUUACAUGUGUUACAUAGUUCUGCUGACAGUUAAUGUAAACUCCCUUUCUGACAAAAGCUCACAGCUCGUACAGUUUGUCACAUGAAGAAACUAUGAAGACUGUGAGAGGUGUGGACCGAAGUCACGUGUGUCACAGUAAGCCACAGUAAGCCACAGUAAGCCACAGAAUGACCAAAUCACAGUUCCUCCUUCCUCUUUACAAAUGAGAAUUUUUCAGGAAAAGGUUAAUAAGUUCAUAUCAUUUCCUUGUUUGUGUACUAAUAAUGUCGAAUUACAUACAUUAUCUGUCUUCCCUUUCCUGUGCUUUCGUCCUGGGAACUUUCAAACAGCCGCGAAUCCCCACAAAAAUGUUGUCGGGGUGGAAGGGCGGGGGGUUGGUAGAUGCAAACAGUGUAGAAGUACACUGAGCAAUAAGGUGGUCGCCAAAGUUCGCUGAUAAUGGAAAACUGUAUGGUUUGCUUGAGGCUGCUACUCUCAAAUUUACUCAGCUAAACAAGAAACUAGCCUGAUAAUAUGAUUUAAUAGAAAAUAUUUUAAAUACUUCACGAUUUGUCAUUUCAUUAUUUAACUAAAAAAAAAUAUAAAUGUCCUUAAAGUGGUUGUUAAAAUCCAGUGAUACAGAGACAUUGUCAUAUUUUAGAACAGGGUGAAAGUAACUGUGUUGACUUUCAAACAUUUCUAAACAUUCACCAGAAAAAAAGUGGACACUGCUACAUUUGUAUUUGUAGGAAGGUCAUAGUUCGUACCAUGACCACCAAGACCUACUUGUAGUGGGUGUGGUAGACUGAGGGGAGGGGCGAUGUGACUAGCAAGCUCUCACAACUCAGGGCUCACAAAAAUACACAUACAGAUACAGAAAUAAAUAUACAGAAUAACCGCAGAGCAGGUGGAUGGCAUGGGAUGAAAAUACAGUCACAGGAAACCGGUUAGGCUUGUUGAUCAGCACAGCUCGACAUUUAGCAAGCGUGUUGGUCUGUGGGUGGGUGGAGACGAGCAGAAGGUAGUUAUGCACAUGUCAAGUUGUGAGGUUUGUAACCUGACAGCAAAGAGAAUAUUAUUUCUUGAUAUUUUUGCGUCUUUCGAUGAACAAACAUUCUCUACAUCACAGGGCUCAGGUUACAGUCUGGAUUACUGAAAGUCAAAGAUGUCGCCAUCCGUGACACAGCUGCAUUAACAUAUCAACAUGUGUUACGAUAUCGUAUAACAUAUAUAUAAUAUCAUUGCUACAUUAUAAGUAUUCAUAGCCAUUUAGUAACAUAAAUACUCUCAUAAUCACAGACAUAGCAGCAGAUGACGAUGAUGAUUAAAUGGAUUUAUGUCAUACAUUUUUCCACUGAGGUACAAACCCAAGAAUUGAUAAUAUUGCUUGUAGAGGAGAUGGUAUUCGUUUUCGGUGUUAUCACGAGUCUGGUGGUCUGUGGUUUCUCCAGACUGCCCCAAGGGUACUUGCACUGUGACCACUUCAUGUAAACACAUACACGCGGACGUGUAGCACGUGCUGGUGGCAAGAGACUGUAGUUCCGAGGUCAUAUUCAUUGCCAAGUAAGAGCUUGAGUGGAAAAUGGCGGGAAAGAAAAGAAGGUUCUAGAAAGAUUAAUCGCUAGGCAGCAAGAGAGGAAGAAACAGGAACUGAUCUGGGCCCGGAACUUGCCAGUUUCUCGCCACGUUCGUUCGCGACGAGCACGAGGGAAGAGCGAAGGCAGCUGACAGUUUGUCACACCUUCAUUCAGGCGGAAGUGCAGCAGUCAACGGCAGUCUCGUUUCAAAGGUUGGAGCCUCGCCAUGUUUCUGACUGGACUAGAAGAAGAAUUGUUCAACAAAAUUUCCUUACAUGGACGCUGGUGUCGUCCGCCCCUGCUGCUCGAGUUUGUAUCACACAUGGUGGAGCUCGGCAAGCCUGCUACACCUGUCGACAUCAGCACGCAGCUGCCUCUGUCGUCAUAGCAACCACGGCUGUGUAUACAUGUGGGUGGAUUGAUGUCUGUCUGCCGAGACUAACGCUUCGCCUCAUGUGAACUUUGAACUCUGCUGUUAGUCUCAGCGAGACAUUACCACCAGACUUCCGGACGAGCAGCACGAAGAUGGAAUUUAACAAGAAUAUAAUUCAACUAUAUAAUGACCACUCUGUUGACACUGCCAUUGUCGUCGUUCGCUAAACCGGAAGCUGUUUGCUCUAGAGACUCGUUCUAUGAGUUUCUUGAAACAUCGCCAGCAAGCAGUCCAGUAAAACAAGAUGGGCGGACUCCUGUUGCAGUUCGUGGCCAGGUUUGCCUCCUAAUCUGUCUCCAGGUGAGUCGUCUCAUCAUCAACUGGGUCCUUGCUACCUGACCAGAAUGUUGCUCCAUGGUUCAGUGCAACAUAUUUAAAAAUUAGCUGGAGUAUCCCAGUCUUUCGUGUGACUGUAGGUACACAGUGUAUUUGCACAUAGUAGAUCAAAGAGAGGCGAGAGAUACCGCCGGCCGUUCGUAGUGAAGUAGGAGAUAAAAAUUACGGUCGUGCCAGCUACCUUACUCAUUCGCCAUCAUUUGCCCUCCAAUUUCAAUGAGUUUCCACCAUCAGUACUCUUUUAAAUUGUCCAAGUUUGCUCGGCGUAGAACGGGUACGUCGAACACUGAAAAGGAUGAGGUUCUUUUCCUUUCAUUUGUAACUAAUUCUAACCGAAAGAGUAAACAUCCUUGGCGAAAGGAGUAUUCUUUCUAAAGCUUACCAGCUUUGGACAUUAACUGCCUCCCUUCCCCCAACACACACACACUGAGUAACACAGAUUGCCACUCUGUGUUGUAUAUAUAUACACACACAUAAAAGAUGCAUCAGAGCAGAAAGAUGCCUUGGAUAUACCCUAGUACCGGUGUCAAUCUUUUUUUCUUCCUCAGUGUGUUCUAUAGUACAUCCGUACAUCAAGCGAAAGUUUCAGCGAGAUAAGGUGAGAGCACAGAAUUAGAAGAGAUCACAGACGUCAGAGGUAGGUCAGUUUCAGCAUGAUAUUUAUGUAUACAAAGAAGUAAUUCGUCUUUUUUAAAGUUACAGGUGUAAAGUGAGAUAUGAACCUACUAGAGGUAGGUGUCAGGCACUAAGCAGACGCAUUUCAUCCCCACACACACAUAUUCUGCUCACACACAACUUUAAGGAGAUUUCACCCCACUCAUUUUUACUAUUUAGUAUUUUUUUUUUAAGUUAAAAUGGUCAAUGUAUAUAUUUUGUGCUUAUAUUAGGACAUACAAAUAGCACAAAUAAACAUCAUUUAGAAUGACAACAUCCCGGAAAAUAAAUUACCGAAAGCUCGGGCGUAUGAUCAGCCAGGACUGGCCAGUCGCUCACUCAGCUGCUAGUCGUGUACCUUACUCAUUUUUGAGAACACGACAACAACGUAAACAAGCUGCUCCUGGGGUCACGUGACUGUGCGCGUGGUGGUGCUGCUUUAGGAGUCGAGCAGCAGAGGCGGUGCUAAAGCUCAUGCAAGUAAAACUAAUUUCUCAGACGGCAGUUCUCAGAAAACCAACUGUCACGGGAUUUAUGAAGUGUUUUUUAAGAACAAUUUUUUUCAGAAAUAGGUUCCGAGUGGUCGGUCUACCAGGACCGUGAACUUUCUUAAUUGCACGACACAUUUGUUGUUGUUGAGAGCACCUGCACAUAAAGCUGUCAUAAAGCAAUCACGUGCUUUAGUGUCAUGCACUUUGCCAGGUGCUGCACAGCUUCUACCAGUGCAUGCGUCCGUAUUUGCAGGCAGGCCUGACGAGAGGGAGGGUAGGUGUACCCCGGUCCGCGGCUGUGGAGGGGCCCGGUCUUCUCAAGUAAUUUGUUUUACGAAAGGGAGAAGAAGAGGCUUCGCGAGGAACGAAUAAAUAAAUUUAGAUAUCAGAGAACGCUGUAAAGUAUAGGCUUCACCCCCCUGCUAGAGUUACUGCUAAGUCCAUUAAUUAAUUAAUUGUACCCAAAUAACGAAUGUGAUAUCACACGUGCAUUAAGGUAAAAGAUAUAAACUUGUAUUGUCUUUAAUCUUCGUUUCUUCAGUAUGUCGAAUUGUUCACGUCCACUGGUGACAUUUUGCUUUAGGAGUUCGAAUAGUUCGGUCUUCCCUUCAUUUCCCCUCAUUUACUGACCACUGGCACAUACACAGCUCUAGAAUGUUCUUCUCAAGCAGUAUUGUAAGCCUAGUUGUCUACACUUUUACUGUCAAACAGACGUUUGUUGUCUAUGCUACUUUACUAAACGAAAUGCAGAUAUUGCCAGUCGAAUUAUAACUUGCAAGCAUGUUGUUAUUUACUGGAAAAAUAAUAAACAAUUACAAUUAAUGAUUAACGCAGGGUGCCCGGAAAGGUCAUCUACCCCGGGGCUCGUGCUGGCUUUCGAAUACUGUAUCAUGUUUGCAGACCCAGUGGCUUAGAACAUGGUUUGCCCCCAUCCAUGUACCUCCGGUGUACUGAAAGCAGUUUAUCUCUGUCUCUUUCUUUCCCCUCUCUGUUGCUGGGGAGGGUUGAAUGUACCCUCGUUACGAGAAAAGCAGGGAGAGCGGUUUCUAAGCCCUCGAUCACAUAAACUUCUUUCAGAUAUAAACACACCACAACUAUCUUGUCCUCAUAGUCUGUAGACUGCUCUAGUCAAUAUGAGCUUCGUCUUGUCUCUUGUUAGUUCCUGUCUGAUAUUAUUGCAAAUUUACAAUCUAUAACUCGGCAAGGUAAUCGUAUUUUCUGAGCAAUUCAUUUCUCAGAAACGAGAAAAAUCGCUGUGACCUUGCGAGAGCGAAUAUCAUGUCAAGGCAAUACAUAGAGGAUUGGAGUGAGUUCCCGGGGAUCAGGGGCUCAGAGUUGCGAGGUCAGAGUAUGUCAGCUCCUGUCCCAAAGAUUUCUCGAAAAAAGACCUCUCUGUGAGUGUGUGUGUGUGUGCUUGUAGUGUGCAUUAAUUCUCAUGAAAUCUCUCCAAAGGGGUAGUCUAGUGCGUGUAAGUGUGAGACCAUCAUCAGUAGAACGAUUUCAUAUGAGUAUGAAGGGGCCUCGGUGUAUUUAUUUCUUGUUCUCGGGAGCGACUGUCGCUGUAAUGUUGUUUUUGUUGCAAGUGUUAUCCGGAGUAUGUACCCCUCUCCUUGACUAGCGCGUGGUGCGUGCUGUGUGUCCACUGCCCAUGGCCUGCCUCCUCUCGUCUGCCUCUCGAUCAGGCUCUUGAAACAGAAAGCUUCUACCAUCCUCCUUCACAAAGAUUGCGCAUCAGAUUAAGUCCAUUUGAAGUCGCGGCCACCAGACUUUGCUAGAUGUUCUCUCUAGUCUAUGCUGUAGACACAAAUGUGUACACGCAUGCGUACACACAUCAGUAGUUGCAGCUAUAGGGAGAUACCAAUACUAUAUAGCUCGGUGUGUAGCUAUGACUAUAGGGAGAUACCAAUACUAUAUAGCUCGGUGUGUAGCUAUGACUUUAUGGGGAUACUAGCCCUACAUAGCUCGGUAUGUAAGUAGUAUAGGCAUGUUGCAUCCAACCCCCAUUUGGGGAGCCGGAAGGGGAGCCGUGACGUCACCGCCGCCAUCUUGCCGGAAGUCGGUGGGGGCGGCCAUCUUGUCGCCAUCUUGCCGGAAG